CAAUGGAAUCAUUAUAUCAAAAAGCGAACAAGUAAACAACAAAACUAAUUUCGUAUUUCGUUUUAUUCUUGCGACCUCAGAUUUUUGUUUGUGUUUGCAGAUUGUUGAUGGAAGUUGAGAGUCACAUAUAAUCUCUAGGGCACUCGUAUUCGCCUCAACUUGAGCAGGAAAUUGAGGGUAAAUUAGAGGAGUUGUUCUCUGAUAUUCAGAGGUUGGAGCAGAUGGUCGCUAAAGAACCACCUUCCAGGAAGCAGAGCGCCAAACUCAACAAGAUUGCGGUUGGGGUGUGAUGUACUUGCUUCUGUUGUUGAGAAAUAUGAGUAUGGAAGAAAUAUUGAUAGGGAAGGGUUUCACCUAUUGACAUGUAAGUCUGGUGGAGGGCCCAUUUGGUCCCACAACUCCAUUGUUAGUGUCUGGUGUGAUUAUCUGCAAGAGGUGAAUACAACUUAUCGAAGAGAGCCUAGAGAUCUGUAUGACGGCACGAAUUCAUGUCCUGACAUCGUAGCAUUUGAUUCUAAAAACGGCAGAGAUCUUGAAUUAGAUAUAUCUGUUGCUCAUCCGUGGAAUGCUGACAUACUACUUAGAGCAGCUGAAGAAGACAGAGAAGCAGCACGAAUGAGAGAAAUGGUAAAAUUGCAGAAAUAUGGAAAGGAAGUAGACAUAUUUGGAAAUGGCUCAAACUGGGUGACCUCUAGUGUUUGAACAUUAUGGGAGAUGGGGUGAGCACCCCAUCAAGUUUCUUUGUCACCUGUCUGAACUGUCUGUGGAUGAAUACGACUGCAAGAACAGCACGGAAUUCAAGUCUCUCUGGCGUCAAGCUUUUUCUGUAGCUCUACAGCGAUGUAAUGCCCCUGGUGCUGUCAAGAAAACUGUGUAGACUUGCUAGAACUAGUAAAUUAGAUUUAGACUCUUAUUACAAACAAUUGGUACAGUAGUUCAUUAAUUGCUUUGCUGUCGCUGGACAAUAUUUAGCCUGUACUAGCAGUUGCAAUAUGCAAAUAUAUUUAUUGACAGACAUACA